AUGCUAAGUGAACGCAUAUCCCUUAUGUUUACAGUCAGCAGGCGGUGGUAUGCAUUGUCCUGUAGUUUUUCUAAUAGGCAGCCAAUGACGACACCCGGGCCAAGAUCCAGAAGCUUAAUCAACACACACAGUCUUACUGCAAAGCCCUUCUCUACUCAUGAAGAUCUGACCAAGAAGUUGUCUCUACUGAGGAAGCAGCCCUUGCCCUUUGUGCUUCAUUGACGUUGGAAGCAGCUGGUCCACAGCGCCUCCAGAAGCCACAGCAAAAGACUACUGGACCCAGGGAGAUGUGGGCUUCAAGCAUUCCCAAUCAGAACUCAGAAUGUACUUUCCCAGACAAGCAAAAUAACUAACUGGUCGGUGGGAAUCAUGUUGUCAAUAUUGCAUUUCAAGUUCACUGGAGCUCAACCAGGCACCAGUGAACAUAAUCAUUUACAAAACUCUUCUUUGGGGGAAAUCUUUUCUGAUCCCAGAUAAAUAAUUUGAAAAUAAACUUGUUUUGGAACAUAGCCA
rnacentral:lncRNA from 1 species